AUUGAACGCUGGCGGCAUGCUUUACACAUGCAAGUCGAACGGUAACAGGUUAAGCUGACGAGUGGCGAACGGGUGAGUAAUGCAUCGGAACGUGCACGAUCGUGGGGGAUAACGCAGAGAAAGCUGCGCUAAUACCGCAUAUGAUCUGAGGAUGAAAGCGGGGGACCGUAAGGCCUCGCGCGAUCGGAACGGCCGAUGUCAGAGUAGGUAGUUGGUGGGGUAAAGGCUCACCAAGCCAACGAUCUGUAGCUGGUCUGAGAGGACGACCAGCCACACUGGGACUGAGACACGGCCCAGACUCCUACGGGAGGCAGCAGUGGGGAAUUUUGGACAAUGGGCGAAAGCCUGAUCCAGCAAUGCCGCGUGCAGGAAGAAGGCCUUCGGGUUGUAAACUGCUUUUGUACGGAGCGAAAAGGCUCUCUCUAAUACAGGGGGCUCAUGACGGUACCGUAAGAAUAAGCACCGGCUAACUACGUGCCAGCCGCCGCAGUAA
rnacentral:rRNA from 1 species